rnacentral:rRNA from 1 species
ACUCCUACGGGAGGCAGCAGUGGGGAAUAUUGCACAAUGGGCGCAAGCCUGAUGCAGCCAUGCCGCGUGUGUGAAGAAAGGCCUUCGGGUUGUAAAGCACUUUCAGUUGUGAGGAAGGUGGUGUCGUUAAUAGCGGCAUCAUUUGACGUUAGCAACAGAAGAAGCACCGGCUAACUCCGUGCCAGCAGCCGCGGUAAUACGGAGGGUGCGAGCGUUAAUCGGAAUUACUGGGCGUAAAGCGCAUGCAGGUGGUUUGUUAAGUCAGAUGUGAAAGCCCGGGGCUCAACCUCGGAACUGCAUUUGAAACUGGCAGACUAGAGUACUGUAGAGGGGGGUAGAAUUUCAGGUGUAGCGGUGAAAUGCGUAGAGAUCUGAAGGAAUACCGGUGGCGAAGGCGGCCCCCUGGACAGAUACUGACACUCAGAUGCGAAAGCGUGGGGAGCAAACAGGAUUAGAUACCCUGGUGGCACAGGAG